rnacentral:lncRNA from 1 species
AAUCAAAAAAUUAAACCAACAUCAUGCUUAAUCAAGGAGAUAAGUACAUUGGUAGUCUUGCAUUUAAUUUUAGAACAAAUGGCCAAAAUAAAUUAGUUGUGAAAAUAACCUCUUCUAUUGCAAGAGAAACAAAGAACCUAUAUUAACCUUAUUCAUUCAACCUUAACUAAAACUCCAUAUGCAAAAGUCUAAGCAAGACUACAACUGUAAAUGACACCAUUUAGUUUAAAAAUGAAAUCAAAAGUAUGACCAAAUAGUGGUCAAUGACUGAAAAGGGUUAGUUGGGCAACAAACAAAGGGUCAAACGAAGCUGCACGGUUCAAAAUAUAAUACAUGCUCGUUUCCCACAACCACACCACUGAUGGAUACUCCCUACAACCACACAUCUGAGGGCCAAGCAGAAUUAUAUCCUAAGCCUUGGCACAAGACUAAAGAUGCUUGGCGCAGUUUAAUUAACUAACACACAUUCAUGACAUUAUCCAAUAUUCAAAAGUAUACAAGAAUGAAACUGCUAACAUUUUCAAACACCAUUGCUUUCAUUCUAACUUCAUUUAUAGGAGUUUACAUGGCCUGAAAGUAACCUGGACAGCAGAAAGAAGAAGAAAAUUCAGCAAAUCAACUAUUUCCAGAUUACAGCAGAACAAGCAGCAAUAAAGCAACACAACAGCAACCAACAACUCCUAGACCAAAGAAAAUGGACCAGAUAUGACCAACAAAGCAAUUGAAACCAGAAAUGAGUCCCUCUGGAAAUUCCUCACAAGAUUCCUCUAUUUUCUUGAAGGUUUUGCACUUGAAAAAUCAUUCACUCUAGCUCAAAAUUUUCAGCUUACUAUUUAGGUGUUCAGCUGCUCUUUUUACUCUCAAAGUUGGGUUUUUUAGUGUGUAAAAGUGUUUAGAAGCUAUGUAUGUUAGAAUGUAAGAUAAAGUGUUGUCUCAUCCUUUUUAAGUGAGGAAAGACCUCUUCCUUUAUAGGAAAGGAGAGGGAUUGAAUUAUUUCAUUGAAUCUAUCCAAAGGCCGGAUUUUUCACCUAAAAUCUGUUCCAACUAUUCAAAGGACAGAUUUUUUUAGUCAAAAAUCAGUAUAGAAGACAAUUCGUCACCAACUAUGAACAGUGCUAAGAGCAUUGUACUCCAAACAGCCCUUUAAACAGUAAAAAACAACCAAAAGAGUACCCUAUACUCGAGUAUUUCUCACUACUUCAGUUUUUAAUCAAUACAUGACUUAUUUAAGCUUAAAACUCAAACUAAAAUCAUGCUCAAAGGAAGAUAAGGUCAAGCUUAACAAAUCACUCAAUGAACCGACUAACCCGGUGAAUUAAACAAUCCAACAAUUUGAAUUGAAUCCAUCAUUUGUAGUCAUGACUAACUUAAUAUUCAAACAAACGACAAAACAAUCGACCGGCUAGGUCGAGGAACAAAUAUCCAAGUGUAACAAGCACGAGCAGACAAAUAUUUGACCGGCUAGGUCAAUAAAACUAAAAGUUCAGCAAGAAUAAAUGCAUAUGACAUAGUCGACCAGCUAGGUCGAAGAACCAAAAAUCAAAACUGAUGAACUAUAUACGAGCUAAUCGACCGGUAAGGUCGAAAAAACUAACUGAAAGAUAUGAAGAAAUAUAUGAUUCUUGAAUAACAAUGAAUUACUAAAAUAACAUACACUGAUAAUACGAUUAAUAGAAUCAUGACUACGAUUAAUCCCUAAACCUAAUGAAAAAUGCACAAGGAAAAUCAGAGAAGAAGAAGAGAGAAGAAUGAAGAAAGAAGAAAAAAGGAAAGAUGGAAUAGGGUUAUACCAAACGAUGGAAGCUAAUGCCAAAGACAACGAGCUCUUAUGCUAUGAACUAACAAGCGAUUCACAACUAACAUUACAAUAGUUUAGUUAACCUAAAAAUACUACUAAUAGAAUUAUAAAGAUUAAACCCUAAAAUUAAAUCUGAAGCACAAGCUGAAAAUCAGAAACGGGAAAGGGGAGACAAAUUUCAUGACUUACCGACAACUCGAGCACACAAGCAAUGGUGAGACAAAGGCAGCGAUGGUGGUGAUUCGACCGGGGCAUGGUUCUAUUGUUGAUCGAUACCAAAAUACAAAAUACGGUGAGUUGAAUAUCGAUUUCGGUAUAAUCGACAAU